ACGGAGGGUGCGAGCGUUAUUCGGAAUUACUGGGCGUAAAGCGCGUGCAGGCGGUUUUGCAAGUCUGAUGUGAAAGCCCCGGGCUUAACCUGGGAAGUGCAUUGGAAACUGCGGAACUUGAGUACUGGAGAGGAAGGUAGAAUUCCCGGUGUAGCGGUGAAAGUCGUAGAGAUCGGGAGGAAUACCAAUGGCGAAGGCGGCCAUCUGGACGAUUACUGACGCUGAGACGCGAAAGCGUGGGGAGCAAACAG
rnacentral:rRNA from 1 species